AAAUAUUUUAAUUUUUCGAGUCAUAGCCACACACGUGCCAAUUCCGCAUCCAAUCCAUUUUGCUACGCACACUUAAGAUGGCGGCUGCGUGAAAACAGCUGAUCGGUUCUGUGGGCCGCUCUUGGUGUAUUUUUGUCCGUAACGUGAUUAGAUGAAAUCUCGCCGUACGAGGUACUUUCGCCCGAGAAUUCUGGAAGCUGUGAACAUCAUGAAGACUGUGAAAGCGUAGUGCUCGGAUACGGAAGAAUCGAUGAAGGUUGGAAGGCAUCUCAACAGAUAGCUGGAAGACGGGAGGCGGAAAGUUGGGCGGCCUGGAG
rnacentral:lncRNA from 1 species